rnacentral:rRNA from 1 species
GAUGAACGCUGACAGAAUGCUUAACACAUGCAAGUCCACUUGAACUUCGGUUUGGGUGGCGGACGGGUGAGUAACGCGUAAAGAACUUGCCUCACAGCUAGGGACAACAUUUGGAAACGAAUGCUAAUACCUGAUAUUAUGAUUUAGGGCAUCCUAGAAUUAUGAAAGCUAUAUGCGCUGUGAGAGAGCUUUUCGUCCCAUUAGCUAGUUGGAGAGGUAACGGCUCACCAAGGCGAUGAUGGGUAGCCGGCCUGAGAGGGUGAACGGCCACAAGGGGAAUGAGACACGGCCCUUACUCCUACGGGAGGCAGCAGUGGGGAAUAUUGGACAAUGGACCAAGAGUCUGAUCCAGCAAUUCUGUGUGCACGAUGAAGUUUUUCGGAAUGUAAAGUGCUUUCAGUUGGGAAGAAAAAAAUGACGGUACCAACAGAAGAAGUGACGGCUAAAUACGUG